rnacentral:rRNA from 1 species
ACUGAGACACGGUCCAGACUCCUACGGGAGGCAGCAGUGGGGAAUAUUGCACAAUGGGCGCAAGCCUGAUGCAGCGACGCCGCGUGAGGGAUGAAGGCCUUCGGGUUGUAAACCUCUUUCAGCAGGGAAGAAGCGCAAGUGACGGUACCUGCAGAAGAAGCGCCGGCUAACUACGUGCCAGCAGCCGCGGUAAUACGUAGGGCGCAAGCGUUGUCCGGAAUUAUUGGGCGUAAAGAGCUCGUAGGCGGUUUGUCGCGUCUGCUGUGAAAACUCGAGGCUCAACCUCGGGCUUGCAGUGGGUACGGGCAGACUAGAGUGCGGUAGGGGAGACUGGAAUUCCUGGUGUAGCGGUGGAAUGCGCAGAUAUCAGGAGGAACACCGAUGGCGAAGGCAGGUCUCUGAGCCGCAACUGACGCUGAGGAGCGAAAGCAUGGGGAGCGAACAGGAUUAGAUACCCUGGUAGUCCAUGCCGUAAACGUUGGGCACUAGGUGUGGGGCUCAUUCCACGAGUUCCGUGCCGCAGCAAACGCAUUAAGUGCCCCGCCUGGGGAGUACGGCCGCAAGGCUAAAACUCAAAGAAAUUGACGGGGGCCCGCACAAGCGGCGGAGCAUGCGGAUUAAUUCGAUGCAACGCGAAGAACCUUACCAAGGCUUGACAUACACCGGAAACUUCCAGAGAUGGUUGCCCCGCAAGGUCGGUGUACAGGUGGUGCAUGGUUGUCGUCAGCUCGUGUCGUGAGAUGUUGGGUUAAGUCCCGCAACGAGCGCAACCCUCGUCCUAUGUUGCCAGCGGGUCAUGCCGGGGACUCAUAGGAGACUGCCGGGGUCAACUCGGAGGAAGGCGGGGACGACGAACGCGAAUUC